rnacentral:lncRNA from 1 species
CUGAAUAUGUUCUAGGCAAGUGGAACAGUACGACUCUCCAAGCAGUUCUGGAUACAGUACAGAAUCAACUUUCCUUUGUCAGUCAGCCGGUGAUAAUUCAGAGCACCCAUUGCAUCAGGAUAUUGGAACUGAAAUGAAGUCUGAACAACUUGGAGAUGAAAAAGGAGUAGGCAGAGAUGAGAAAGGGGUUCUUUGUACUGCAAAUGUGGAUAAAGGUAAAUAAAUGGAAAGGAUUUUUAAUAAAAUUUCAGUUUAGUAACAAUUGACCACAUAUAUAAUAGAUUAUGUUCAAAGAGAUGAUGAAUAACCAGAUAAUAACUUAAUCUCUUAAGUGGUUAGUUAUUCCUAAGCUGGAAAUUAUAUGAAGGUCUAGUUUUAUAUAUUUUCUAAAAUAAAAUGCUUUUUUUCAAUAUGCUAAUACCAUAAAUGGUAAGCGUUAAUAUUAUGUCUAUUCUAGCAGAUAUGUUGCCAUAUUGUGAGGAACAGAUAAACAAUGACUUGAUUGUUUCUACCUCAUCAAGAUUGGAGUUCAGCUCCCCUAUUCAAGUAACCCCUCUGUUCAGAUCCUUGGCAGCAGGAAUUCCCAGCCCACAAUUUUCCGAAAGUGUAAGUCAGCCAUGAACUUGGGACUUGGGCAUUGAUUAUAUUUCUGUAUAAUUUUUUUUAAAAUGAUCUAUAUGCAUAUAUUGUAUUUCUUUUGACCGCAGAACCCAUUAUGAUUUCUGUUAUAGUUUCAUAAAGGAUUUUUAGGGUCUCUGAUAUUUUCCGUUAUCUGAUAUUGAUAAUGUUGAUAAUGAUAACUAGCAUGAUUAUAUAUUAUUAGUAAUAUGGGAGCUUUUCAACUUGAUGGUAGAGCUUGUUGUAGUGGAGAUUUUAUAGGGGAAGCUUAUCAAUGCAAAAUUGACAUGUUAAAGCGGUGAACUAAUGGAAUCAUGAUUAGUUGUUGGAUUAAUGGAAUCAUGUCUUUUCCUUUUAGUUUAGUAAGAUGAAUGCCUAUUAUAUAUUAAAUAUUAAUCUAUCAAUAAUAAAUCAAAUAAUGGUGGCAUUUUAUUUUCAUCAUUAGUUUCAAUACUCAAUCCAUGAAACCGUAGUAGGCACCUUAACUCAAGUAUUCCUAAUAUCAUCUAUUUCUACUUCUAAGUCCAUUGGGCUUUUGAAAUAUUUAAGCAAUCCCUACCUAAAAUUGUUGAUGCAGGUAAAAAAGAGGUAAAUGAAGAAGAACAACCUGUUUGUAAUCAAGUAUUUGGGUGGCAUAUAAUGUGCUGGUAAAACUAAUACGAUAUAUGUGUAUAUGGCAUGAGAUUUUCUGAGACAUUUAGAUUUUUUAGCAUACAGAUUAAGUUGUGUAAGAUCUUACUCACAUUGGAGCGCAUAAUAAUGAUAUAACUGCAGGGUUUGUUUGGAUAAAAUUUUCCAUAAACACUCAUUGGAGAAGAAAAUACGAAGGAAAGACUAACCAUAAAGUAAAAUUAGUUUAUAUAUGAAUUAAAAAUCAUCUAUUUAGAGAAACUCAUUUUGUUUGUCCUUCUUAUAUUGCUCUUAUAAGUUAGAAGUAUUUUGAAAAAGUUUAUCUUGCAAAUAAUAUUUAAUUUUGUGGCAAGAUUAGUGGAAGCUGUUAGAUGUUAUUCACACAUUGAUUUUUUUAAUUCUAGUUUGUCGUUGGUAAUGGCACUUCUCGCUUUUUCUCUAGUAUUAGAAUAUAUCGAUGUUUGACACUGAAGACUAACCUUUAUUCUUUCAGGAAAGGAACUUCUUAAGGAAAACACUAGGAGUGGAAUCUCCAUCCAUCAACCCAAGUGCCAACUCAUCACAACCGCCACCCUGCAAAAGAGCCCUACUACCAAGUCUAUAAACCAUCUGAGAUACAAAUAUUGAUCCGUUUUGAAUCCUACUUUCUCAUCCUUGGCAGUAAUCUCUGGCAUAUGGAGAAAAAAUAUGAUUUCAAUCUGCCUAAAGUUUUGAAAGGCAUAUGCUGUUCCUCAAGAAUGUUAUGAUACAUUCUUGCCGCCAUCCAACAUAUCUAACAUCUCAAAAGUUACCUUUUUGAAACUUGCACAUAAAAUUGGCUUGCUUAGUGUGUCAUUCUUUGGUUUGUUUUAUUUUGAUAUUGUUCUGGGUUUGUUUUUCUCCAAUCCAGCAAUCAGCAUUUUGUCCGAAUUUUGUACAGAGCUUGCUGUGUAAUCAGUAGCAUCAUGAUUCCUGAGUGUGUAUGAAUACAUUAGCAUAGAUAGAAGAGAGAGAAGAAACUUAACAGUGGGAACUUGGAUUCUAAUUUGUUGUUUGGAGUGUGCAUAGGUUAUUUAAUAAAUAUUUUUCCCUUUUGGUUCUGAUGUACUGAAACUUAAUCAUAAGUGAGUGGAAAUGCAUUUGGUUUGGUGUGCAGAUACUGUUUCAGUUUUUAGCUCAAUCAAAUUGUAAAAUUCUCCAAACUAAGACUUAUAUUCCAGGUAAAUAAAAGAAAAUGGUAAAGCAAAGGCCAUGAAGCAUCAUGAAAACAGAACAAGAAAUGGAGAAUAUGUAAAUCAUAUACUUACAGAGUUUUCAUGUCACCUUGCCCCCUGACCUGAUAGAGGCAAAGCAUACCUUUCUCUUUGAUACGGCUUGUUUGCCAUGGAGCAUCAUCUUGUGCUGGGUGGAAGAAUAAUUCCACACUCACUGCAUU